GUCCACGCCUAACGAUGUCAACUGGUUGUUGGAGGUUCUUCUCAGUAACGAAGCUAACGCGUGAAGUUGACCGCCUGGGAGUACGGCCGCAAGGUUGAACUCAAGGAAUUGACGGGACCCGCACAAGCGGUGGAUGAUGUGGUUUAAUUCGAUGCAACGCGAAACCUUACCUACCUUGACAUGCCAGGAACUUGCCAGAGAUGGCUCGGUGCUCGAAAGAGAACCUGGACACAGGUGCUGCAUGGCCGUCGU
rnacentral:rRNA from 1 species